GGAUGUGAGGGCAAUCUGGCUGCGACAUCUGUCGCCCCAUGGACUGCGAGGGUUGAGUCGGCUGAUCUGGCUGGCUAGGCAAUGUCCCCUUCCUACCUCACCACUCCGUGUGUGUCCUCUCAAAGCUGCCUGCUUGGCUGAAAAGGACAACCACCCCGACAGAGGAGGGCGUUUCCUCUGUCAAAGGUAUAUGAGUAACCGGGAUCCCCUGCUAGAACCUCCAAACAAGCUCUCAAGUUAAAGGGAAAAAUGACAGAGGGUUAAUAUUACAGAACUUCAUCUUGAUUUUAUUUAUAAGACUGA
rnacentral:snRNA from 1 species